rnacentral:rRNA from 1 species
AUUGAACGCUGGCGGCGUGCUUAACACAUGCAAGUCGAUCGGUAACAGGUGUAGCAAUACAUGCUGACGAGAGGCGGACGGGUGAGGAACGCUUGGGAAUCUGCCUAUCAGCGGGGGACAACCCGGGGAAACCCGGGCUAAUACCGCAUACGCUCUACGGAGGAAAGCCGGGGACCGCAAGGCCUGGCACUGAUAGAUGAGCCCAAGUCGGAUUAGCUAGUUGGCGGGGUAACGGCCCACCAAGGCGACGAUCCGUAGCUGGUCUGAGAGGACGAUCAGCCACACCGGAACUGAGACACGGUCCGGACUCCUACGGGAGGCAGCAGUGGGGAAUAUUGGACAAUGGGCGAAAGCCUGAUCCAGCGACGCCGCGUGGGUGAAGAAGGCCUGCGGGUUGUAAAGCCCUUUCGGUAGGGACGAAAGCUCUCGACCUAACACGUCGGGAGGUUGACUUAACCUACAAAAGAAGCACCGGCUAACUCUGUGCCAGCCGCCGCUGUAACAC